GAUGAACGCUGGCGGCGUGCCUAAUACAUGCAAGUCGAGCGAACGGACGAGGAGCUUGCUUCUCUGAUGUUAGCGGCGGACGGGUGAGUAACACGUGGAUAACCUACCUAUCAGACUGGGAUAACUUCGGGAAACCGUAGCUAAUACCGGAUAAUAUUUUGAACCGCAUGGGUCAAAAGUGAAAGACGGUCUUGCUGUCACUUAUAGAUGGAUCCGCGCUGCAUUAGCUAGUUGGUAAGGUAACGGCUUACCAAGGCAACGAUGCAUAGCCGACCUGAGAGAGUGAUCGGCCGCACGGGAGCUGAGACACGGUCCAGACUCCUACGGGAGGGAGCAGUAGGGAAUCUGCCGCAAUGGGCGAAAGCCUGACGGAGCAACGCCGCGUGAGUGAUGAAGGUCUUCGGAGCGUAAAACUCUGUUAUUAGGGAAGAACAUAUGUGUAAGUAACUGUGCAGAGCUUGACGGUACCUAAUCAGAAAGCCACGGCUAACUACGUG
rnacentral:rRNA from 1 species